AUGUCGAUGUUCACCGGUGUGUCCAUCGUCGAUGGCGACAAGCAGAGCUCCUGCGACACGUCGGCCAUCUACGCUGGUGAUGCGGACAGCGGGUACCACCUGCUCAUGGUCCGGGGCUACUUGCGCACCAAAGAGGAGUUACCCACGGGCGAGAGUGCCCGCACCGGUCUUUUCACAAUGGGAGGACAUGAUUGGUACGUCGAGUACUACCCCAACGGCAUAAACAAGGACUGCGCUGACUUCAUCUCUCUUGAUGUUACCCUUCUCUUUGAUGACGACGACGAUCCUUUCGACAUGGUUGUGGAGGCCAAGGUCAGUUUCAGUCUCAUCGACCAGGUUGAGAAGCAGAAUCUGAUGUACAUUUGUCAAGUUAGAAAGACCAGCACCUUCUCAAGCAGUGCUAUUUGCUGGGGUUGUGACAAGUUUGUGAGAAGGGACGCCCUCGAACGAUCAUCUGAUCUAAAGGGUGAUUGUUUCACCAUCCGGUGCGACAUCAUGGUCGUCCGCAAGGAUUCCAAAAGUCAGGACGCCCUGGCUGACAUGAACCAGCAUUUUAGCAAUCUCCUUCAAACCAAGGUGGGUGCAGACGUGACAUUCGAGGUCAGCGGUGAGAGGUUUGCUGCACACCGGUGUGUGCUUGCGGCCAGGUCUAAGGUCUUCAUGGCACAGCUAUUUGGCCCCAUGAAGGAGACGUCCACCGUUAUACAGAUCAAAGACAUGGAAGCAACGGUGUUCAGGGCUUUGCUUAUCUUCAUCUACACAGAUAUAUUCCCAUUGAGAGAGGAGGAAAUCAUGGAGGAGGAUGAAAUGUCAGGAGUUAUGGAAGAGGGACAAGAAGACAAGCCAGCAAAGGAUGAAAUGACACUGCAAUAUCUGCAAAACAUGUUUGUGGCAGCAGACAGGUUCGAUCUCCAGCGGCUCAAGUUCAUCUGUGAAAAGCGCUUGUCUGAACACAUAGGUGUGAGCUCGGUGAUGUACACUCUUGCUCUAGCCGAGCAGCACCAAUGCCAGGGAUUGAAGGAGGCGUGCUUGAAGUUUAUGCAAGUCCAGUCCCCCUCGUGCUUGCAACAAGUAAUGGCAACUAAUGGGUGGGAUCAUGUAGUUUCGACCUAUCCCUCGGUUUUGAAGGAGAUCAUUGCCAAGAUUGCUUUGAACCGGUGCAAGUAG
rnacentral:rRNA from 1 species